rnacentral:tRNA from 1 species
UCCCUGGUAGCUCAGAUGGUAAAGCGUCUGCCUGCAAUGCAGGAGACCCGGGUUCAAUCCCCAGGUUGUGAA